UUUGCCACAGAAUGGCUGUGGAGGCCAAGUCAGUGGAUGUUUUUUAAGGCAGAGAUAGAUUCUUGAUUAAUACAUACGGGUGUCAGGGGUUAUGGAGAGAAGGCAGGAGAAUGGCGUUGAGAGGGAAAGAUCGAUCAGC